rnacentral:lncRNA from 1 species
CGCCGUCCCUCCAGAUUUCACCAACUUCAUCCCUGAGAAUUUCACCAGUAAUAAUAGCCCUUUACAGACAAUUUACAGAGUGAAUGUUGGGGGCCCUUCAAACAAUGAUACAUUGUGGAGAAGCUGGGAAACAGAUGACACUUACCUGCUCGAUCCAAACUCUGCUAAGGAAACCAGCAAAGGUAUACUUAGUAGAAAUAAUGUGGGAAAAUUUGAUGGUUUCGUUUUCUCUAAUGUGUCUGUUGCGCCAGAUUGGGUUUACCUGACUGCUAAAGCGAUGAAUAUUAAUGCUAGCAGGCCAGCGAAUUCCUCCAACAUAACCUGGUCUUUAAGAGUGAGAGCGAAUGCUAGGCACAUUGUCCGGGCUCAUUUCUGUGACAUUGUUGGUUCGGCGCCUGGUAACGUUAUAUUUAACUUGUAUUCAAAUGGCAACAUCCGCAAAGAGGUUGGCAGGGCUCCUCUGUCGUCUGUUCCUUUCUACUAUGACUUUGUGGUGAAUUCUAGUGCGUCUGAACUCAUUAACAUCAGCAUAAGACCUAGGAAUGAUUCUGCAGAACCAAAUGCAUUUCUAAAUGGGCUAGAAAUAUUGGAGAUAAUGGAGGGAAAAGGUUCAAUUCCUCAUGUGGAAGUGCCCAAGAAGAAUAUUGUGGCUGUGGUGGUUGGCUCAGUUCUUGGGGGCCUGUCACUCAUCUGCAUUUUAGUAGCUGGAUUUGUGUUCCGUUUGAGACAAAGAAAGGCAGAGAAGCAAGUUGAAACUUCAGACUGGUCACCAAUGCCUGCAAAUGGCGGGAGUUCCUACAGCAAAGUGACUGAAAGAACCAUCACUGGUUCACCUAUGAAUCUGAUGAAUCUUGGGUUGAAGAUAUCUUUUGCCGAAAUUCAGUCGGCAACUCACAACUUUGACACCAAAUUUCUGAUAGGUAAGGGUGGCUUCGGGAAUGUAUAUAAAGGGACUCUCUUUAAUGGCACCAAGGUAGCUGUAAAGCGUGCUUAUAAGCGAGAUGAGCAAGGUUCAGGAUCCGGCCAAGGCCUUCCAGAAUUCCAAACAGAGAUUAUGGUAUUGUCCAAGAUCCGCCACCGCCAUCUUGUGUCCUUAAUUGGGUACUGUGAUGAAAGGUGUGAGAUGAUACUAGUCUAUGAGUUCAUGGAAAAGGGGACCUUGAGAGACCAUUUGUAUGAAUCGAACUUCCCUCGCUUGACGUGGAAGCAAAGACUUGAAAUUUGUACUGGAGCAGCAAGGGGUCUUCAUUAUCUCCACACAGGUGCAGCUGGGGGAAUCAUUCACCGUGAUGUCAAGUCCACCAACAUAUUGCUUGAUGAAAACCAUGUUGCCAAAGUUGCUGACUUUGGCCUUUCGAAAUCUGGCCCUCUUGAUGAGACGCAUGUCAGCACAAAUGUCAAAGGCACUUUUGGUUACCUAGAUCCUGAGUAUAUGAUGUCUGAACAGUUGACAGAAAAAUCUGAUGUGUACUCAUUUGGUGUAGUUCUUCUUGAGGUGUUAUGUGGAAGACCUGCUAUUGAUCCAACACUUCCAAGAGAGCAAAUGAACUUAGCUGACUGGGGAAUGCUUUGCAAGAAAAAGGGGUUGCUUGAACAGAUUGUUGAUUCUCCAUUGAAAAGUCAGAUUGAUCCCAGCUCACUGAGAAAGUUUGGUGAGACGGCUGAGAAGUGUUUGCAAGAAGAUGCUUCUGAUAGGCCAACAAUGGCCGAUGUGCUGUGGGAUUUGGAGUAUGCAUUACAGCUUCAGCAAACAACGAAGCUGAAAGAGGCUUAUGAGGACAGCACAACCAUUGAUGCUUCAUCAGCUGCAUUCGGUUUGCCAAUUGUUCAGCGUUUUCCUUCACUUGGUUCGACCAUAAAUGGAGAUGAUAUGAGGGACAACGAAUUGGACACGACAGAAAAUGAAAUUUUCUCCCAAUUGAAAAUUGGUGAUGCCAGAUAGAUUUAAGGUUCGUCAGCUUACAUUAAUUUUGUUUUUGUUUCUUUAGCCUGUCAAGUAAUUUUGGUGAUGUGCCUUGUUACUUUAUCUGUAUGUUUGUUUUAUUAGCGUCUCUAAGAUGUUAUAUAUGAUAAUCUCAAUUCUGCGUAAAUAGAAGCUGGAUAUGAUUUGAUUUCAUCUUCACUGUUUUCCUGAGGCUACUUCAACUGCCCUCAUACUUCCGUAGCCUAAAUUCUAGGCAAGUUAGCCUUUUCUAUCCUUUCUCUGGCAUCCAGUAAUGUGGUCUCCUGACUCAAACAAGUAGUUUCAAAAUGUAGAGCCUGGGACAAGGAUUUAACUUGGACAAUGAGAUCAGGGUACAGAAGAAUUCAGAUUAUAGAAAACCAGGAUUAUGGCAAUUAAGAAUUGCUUAAUCCGCAAACCCCCUUAGAUGGAGUGCCUAGAAUUUUCUGAAAAUCUCAUAUUUGACAGAAUGAAAAACCUAUAAUAGGUUUUGAACUUGGUUUGGUUAAGUCAGGAAGUACCAGAAGAAUGUCUUUGCGAGUAUACUCCUUAUAAAGAAAGGCAUAUUUAUCAGAGAACAAUCUCGUCAACACACUUUGGAUCAGUUGCGCUUAUUUAUCAAUGUAGACGGUGGAAAAUGCUAGAUUGAAAAUUAUGUGUUCUCCUAAACCAAGUGUGGUUGGUUUGAUUUUCGAAUCAUUGAUUCAAAUCUUUCAAUGUUAGGAGACUUAUAAAGUCAAUGAGGUGGAAGUUGAUACGAGUCCAUGACCAAGGGUAAAGAACUCAGCAUGCCUAAAGCUGUUCCAUUAAAGCAUAUCCAACUGUGAUCAAUGUUCUCGCUUGAAUGAAAAGGCAGAUUAUUAUUAGUUACUGUCAUUCAAAACAGACGUCAUACUUCCCUGUAUUAAGAAUGCUGAUAAAUUCAAGUGAAAAGAUGUGAGUAUCGCAGAGCACAGUAAUUGCUUGUUUCUAUUUUGUUUUAUGGAACAAGGUAUAAUGUUGUAUUGGAGAGAUCAUCAGUUCUUAAGUGUGUAGGUGAAGGUAAAGCAAAGGGAUUUUGAUACAAUGCCUCAGAGUUGUUCCUACUUUUUAAGCUAUGGCACAAAGGUUAAUUAUCAGCUUAAGCAAAACGUUGGCAUUUCUUAGUCCUAAGCAUUUGACGGCAAUAGCUCUUCCUUUCGAGGAAGAUCCUCACUGAUAUGGUGAAUUGGUGAUAGUGAUUCAAAGUCUUAUUCCAGUAGUCCGGCAUAUUCCUAUUUGGCUGGUUGUAAUCUGUACACAGGCUGAUAGCUUCAUCUACAAGCAUUUUUUUUUUUUCUUCUUUUUUUCUAGCUUAUGAUUCACUAGUUUAGGUGCUGCAAAUUGAAGUCAUCUAGUUUCUGUAGUUUCUUUCCAUCUUCUAACAAAAAAUAAUAAUAAUAAUUGAAGUCAUCUAGCUUAUGCUCAUAGUGCUUUUAUGGGACCAUUGAUGUGAUUGCUAUUCUGAUCCAAAUGCCAAAGGACAGUGAGCCUGAAAAGAGGCGAUUUUUCAUUAGCUGCUGAUAUUUCUAUUAAGACAUGAUAUGUUUGGACAGGAUAGAACUGAAAACACCGAAAAUGUCCUCGUUUUAUCUGCCACUAUAUGAAAUAUAUUAGGGACAUAUGAAUAAAUUUAUUUCAGUCAGGCUUUUUGGAAUUUUCCAAAUUUGAUUGAAUGGUUGAUAUUCCAGUUUUCUAAGUUCACAGACUUUUCCUGUUCGUAGUCAUUCUACUGCAUAUUGGAGUUUAUUCAACUCCAGAGUUCUGCUAAGCAUUAUCAACUAAGUACAUCAGUUUCCAUGGAAUUUUUUCAGAAGUGCAGAACCUGUGUCCCUAUGCUUCUUGUUUUUCUCCUCCACUUCUCAAACCUUCACAUUCUCUCUUUUGCUGAUGACUACAAAAUCAAUUGUGGCUCAGAUGCUAAUGUGAGCCUCAUUGCUGACCAGAAUUUUGUUGGAGAAUCAAAGUCUGGUUCCUCUUUCUCCAAAAGCAACACCAUCGCACACACAAACCAGUUGCCGGCUCUCUACCAGACAGCAAGAGUUUAUAGUGAUCCUUUCUACUAUGAGUUCAAGGUCACUACUGGUACUUAUCUGGUACGCCUACAUUUCUUAGCCUUUUCUUCCACCUCAAGUAAUCUCUCUGCAGCUGUUUUUGAUGUUUUGGAUUCUACAAAAUUCAUACUGCUGAACAAUUUCAGUGCCAAAAGUAGUACUAGUUCUCCUUUGAUAAAGGAGUUCUUUCUAAGAAUUGAUAGUACCGAGUCAUUUAGACUGUAUUUUACACCCCGGGCAUCAUCUUUGGCUUUUGUCAAUGCUAUUGAAUUCUUCGCCGUCCCUCCAGAUUUCACCAACUUCAUCCCUGAGAAUUUCACCAGUAAUAAUAGCCCUUUACAGACAAUUUACAGAGUGAAUGUUGGGGGACCUUUAAACAAUGAUACAUUGUGGAGAAGCUGGGAAACAGAUGACACUUACCUGCUUGAUCCAAACUCUGCUAAGGAAAGCAAAAAAGGUACACUUAGUAGAGAUCAUGUGGGAGAAAUUAAUGGUUUCGUUUUGUCUAAUAAGUAUGUCGCGCCAGAUGGGGUUUACCUGACUGCUAAGGCGAUGAAUAUUACUGCUAGCAGGCCAGCCAAUUCCUCCAACAUAACUUGGUCUUUAAAAGUGAGUGGGAAUGCUAGGCACAUUGUCCGGGCUCAUUUCUGUGACAUUGUUGGUUUGGCGACUGGUAACAUUCUUUUUGACUUGUAUUCAAACAGCA